rnacentral:lncRNA from 1 species
CUCCGCCCGCUCCGAGGGUCCGCGGAAAGUAGUCCCGCGCGCCCUCUGCCCUGACGCGGUGUGUGCCAGCUACCCGAGUGAAAGGUUUUCGGGGGAUUAAUCCUGAUGGGGUCUGCGGCGGCCCUUGCCCAGCGCCUUCCACAUGUGGAGCGGGCCAGUGGUGCUAGUUCUGCCGCCAACUCUGGACGGUUGAGUUCAGGGCCACUUUUUACUCAGGCACGGAUGUGACAGAAAGAUGGAAAAGGGUCUUGGAAGAACCACAUGUGCCGUAUAACGAACGACCUUUUGGUCUGAGGAGGACCGUGUAUAUGACGGUGGUCCCAUAACAUGAUAACGGAGCUGGAAACUUCCUGUCCUCUGGUGAGGGCUUAGCUAAGGACAUUUCCUCUCCUGUAUUUGGAGAUACACGUACAGGUGGAUCUGAAGCAGUGCUGCCUUAGUCUCCUUGGACUCUCAGCUCCAUUUCCUCAGCUCAAGUAGUCCACUGGGCUCUACCUCAGUUCUGCCUCCUCUUGCUGUGGCCUAGAAAUUCUCUCUGGAUAUCAGAAAACAAAGGACAGUAAUCCCUGCCAAGAUGGGAUACAAACAAGCUGCAGCCCUUGGUGCACAGUAUGAUCUGGACCUGGGGCACAGCAAGACCAGAACCAUGAACCACCAUGAACCAUGA